GGGCACAUAGCUCAGUUGGUAGAGCAGCUGACUCUUAAUCAGCGGGUCCAAGGUUCGAGUCCUUGUGUGCCCA
rfam:Insolitispirillum peregrinum strain DSM 11589 genome assembly, contig: Ga0111619_106